ensembl:lncRNA
UUUCCUAUUGCCAGGACGCAAGCUUCAUGAGCUACAGAUUGCAUCAAAGUUGCUUAUAAACUCAAACUUUGGGGUUGCAUCUGUGAUUGCCUUGUGCUAGAAACAUGGAAAUACCAAGAAGUCCCGGGAAAGAUUCUUCUGGAAACUUAAUGCUCUCUCUAACCCUGAAGGCUCCCAGACCUGCCUGUUCUCAGACUCGCCUGCUGGCAGGAAGAUGCGCCUUCUAACAAUAGAUGUCCUCUCCCGAUGAAAUCCAGGACCAACUUUUCCACUGACCCAGAUCUUUCACACGCAGAGAAAGGGAACGUUCACAGUUGCCGGACUAUCCGCAUGGCAAGAAAAGACACUCAAGGGGAGCUCUGCUGACUUACUGCACCGGGCAUCUCCUGACGUCUGCACCCCUGCAUCACCGCCUCCGAG